AGAGUUUGAUCCUGGCUCAGGAUGAACGCUGGCGGUGUGCCUUAGGCAUGCAAGUCGAACGAGAUCCCUUCGGGGUGACAGUGGCGAACGGGUGAGUAAUGCACAGGAACAUACCUUUUAGUGCGGGAUAGCCUCGAGAAAUCGAGGAUAAUACCGCAUGUGCUCGCAAGAGUAAAGAGCUUAACUGCUCGCUAGAAGAGUGGCCUGUGUACUAUCAGCUUGUUGGUGGGGUAAAAGCCUACCAAGGCUACGACGGUUAGGGGGUGUGAGAGCAUGACCCCCCACAAGGACACUGAGAUACGGGUCCUACACCUACGGGUGGCAGCAACCGGGAAUCUUGCGCAAUGGGGGAAACCCUGACGCAGCGACACCGCGUGGAGGAAGAAGGCCUUCGGGUUGUAAACUCCUUUUAUAUAUGGGAAGAAGUCUCACUUAGUGAGAUUGACGGUACCAUACGAAUAAGCACCUGCUAACUACGUGCCAGAAGCCUCGGUAAUACGUAGGGUGCGAGCGUUAUCCGGAAUUAUUGGGCGUAAAGAGUAUCGUAGGCGGUUUGUUAAGUGCAUGGUGAAAUCCUAUAGCUCAACUAUAGAAUUGCUAUGCAUACUGGCAAACUAGAGGGUAUCAGGGGAUGCUGGAAUUCUUGGUGGAGCAGUGAAAUGCGUUGAUAUCAAGAAGAACACCAAAGGCGAAGGCAAGCAUCUGGGAUACUCCUGACGCUGAUGAACGAAAGCUAGGGGAGCGAAAGGGAUUAGAGACCCCUGUAGUCCUAGCCGUAAACGAUGUUCACUAGUUGGCCCCGCUCGCAAAGCGUGUAAUUUUUAUUGCACUUUUUGCGAAUGGGGUGACGAAGCUAACGCAUUAAGUGAACCGCCUGGGGAGUACGGCCGCAAGGCUAAAACUCAAAGGAAUUGACGGGGAGGCGCACAAUCAGUGGAGCAUGUGGUUUAAUUCGAUACAAAGCGUUGGACCUUACCUGGGUUUGACAUGUACCUGCAAAUCUUGUGAAAGCAAGACUUCUUCGAGAGUGGUACACAGCUGCUGCAUGGCUGUCGUCAGUUCGUGUCGUGAGAUGUCCACUUAAGUGUGGUAACGAACGCAACCCGCACUCUGUGUUAUAUUUUCACAGGGAACUGCCUCGCAACAAGCGGGGAGGAAGGAGCGGAUGACGUCAAGUCAGCAUGACGCUUACGUCCAGGGCAACACACAUCCUACAAUGGAGCCGACAAUAGGUUGCGAAGGAGCAAUCCGGAGCUAAUCCUCAAACGGCCCCUCAGUUCAGAUAGCAGUCUGCAAUUCGACUGCUUGAAGUCGGAAUUGGUAGUAAUCGUGGGUCAGCAGACCACGGUGAAUACGUUCUCGCCUCUUGUACACACUGCCCGUCAAGCGAGGAGAGUUGGGGGUACCCGAAGACAUUUGUCUAACUAUGUUUACAUAGAAGACGGUGUUUAAGGUGAACUCAAUGAUCAGCACUAAGUCGUAACAAGGUAACC
rnacentral:rRNA from 1 species